rnacentral:misc_RNA from 1 species
UUAAGUUCAGCGGGUAUCCCUACCUGAUCCGAGGUCAAGUCGUGAAAGGUCUUGCUGGAGCGCGGAUCCGCCGGGCCUCCGAGAAGCGCAAAUGUGCUGCGCGAGGGGGCCGGCACGACCGCCGCCAAUGACUUUGAGGCGAGUCCGCGCGCGAAAACGGCGGGACAGACGCCCAACACCAAGCUAGGCUUGAGGGUGUA